UGGGGAAUCAUGGUCAAUGGGCGAAAGCCUGAACCUGCGACGCCGCGUGAGUGAUGAAGGUCGUAAGAUCGUAAAACUCUUUUCAGGGAUAUUAAAGGCAGCGCUCUAACAUAGCGUCUGCUGUGACUCUCCCUGGAAUAAGCCCCAGCCAACUACGUGCCAGCAGCUGCGGUAAUACGUAGGGGGCGAGCGUUAUUCGGAAUUACUGGGUGUAAAGGGUAUGUAGGCGGCCUGACAAGUCGCGUGUCAAAGUCCAGCGCUUAACGCUGGGUUCGCACGUGAUACUGUCUGGCUAGAGGGCUGGAGAGGUGAGCGGAAUUCCCGGUGUAGUGGUAAAAUACGUAGAUAUCGGGAGGAACACCAGCGGCGUAGGCGGCUCACUAGACAGUUUCUGACGCUAAGAUACGAAAGCGUGGGGAGCAAACA
rnacentral:rRNA from 1 species